rnacentral:rRNA from 1 species
CCGCGGUAAUACGAAGGGUGCAAGCGUUAAUCGGAAUUACUGGGCGUAAAGCGCGCGUAGGUGGUUCAGCAAGUUGGAUGUGAAAUCCCCGGGCUCAACCUGGGAACUGCAUCCAAAACUACUGAGCUAGAGUACGGUAGAGGGUGGUGGAAUUUCCUGUGUAGCGGUGAAAUGCGUAGAUAUAGGAAGGAACACCAGUGGCGAAGGCGACCACCUGGACUGAUACUGACACUGAGGUGCGAAAGCGUGGGGAGCAAACAGGAUU